CAGCUCUGCGGAGAGCGGGGGCAGCGCCCCGUUGGAAAGGGAGCGGUGCGCAACUCGAGCUGAGCCUGAUGACGAGGGCCACGUCACAGACAGGAGAGAGAUGCUGUCCUGUGCUCUUGCUAUGAACCAGGAAGCUGAAGGAAAGGCAACAGGAUGGAACAAAGAGACCCAGGAUGUUUGUGAGACCUACUAAAGGACCUCUGAGAACAUCCUCAUGCACCUGCUUCCCUGCUUAUUUUACAAAACAACACACAGAAAAUCACUGAAACUCCCGUUGCCUUUACAUUUAUGUAUUUUGAAUAGAAAAACUGUCUGCAACUCUAGACUUUUUCCAUCUGAUUUUUUAUCUCUAAAAGGUAACAUACAGCUAAUCUCAUCCCAGACACUUGUACAUGAGAGGAAUCAAGGUGAAGAAAGAAUGCAAUAACCUUUAGAGAUGUUUUAUUUGUUGUACUGCUCAGAUGAUGCAGCAAGGUUUUAAAGUAUGUGGGCUAAUUAUCAAAUUGAUGUUGUCCACCUGAAUCUCUUCUUAUCAGUAAUUUAAAACACGUGGUAGAAGAAUUACCAUAAGAGGUUAACAAAAGCCAAGGGAGAUAUACAGAAAGUACACUAGAGCUAAAAGACAAGAGAAACUUAGCUGAUCUUUCCAUUCAUCAAAAGGAUCAUGGCAGAUGGAAUAUUUUCUCUCAAAGCUUAAGGCAGGAGUUGUAGCUAUAAGUGGAUUGCACUUGCUGUCAGAGGAGGCUGUUGACUUCCAGAAGAUCUGUGCUUCCAUAUUACCUUCUCCCAGGUAAUUUUUAUAUGGUGUGCACAAAUACAUACAGCUGCUUUCUACCUGGAAAAAUAUUGCUUUGCCAUCAAGCCUCCAGAAGUUUGUGACUGGAUAACCACUGUGUCCUCGACAAGGAAUCAACUCGAGGGCAGAGUUACAGUUGGGGCAGGCUUUCUCUGUGAACAGAAAGAAACUACUGAAGAGAUUGGUUAAGGACAAGGAUG